rnacentral:misc_RNA from 1 species
UACAGAGGGUGCAAGCGUUAAUCGGAAUUACUGGGCGUAAAGCGCGCGUAGGUGGUUGGUUAAGUUGGAUGUGAAAGCCCCGGGCUCAACCUGGGAACUGCAUCCAAAACUGGCCGGCUAGAGUACGGUAGAGGGUGGUGGAAUUUCCUGUGUAGCGGUGAAAUGCGUAGAUAUAGGAAGGAACACCAGUGGUGAAGGCGUCUGCCUGGACUGAUACUGACACUGAGGUGCGAAAGCGUGGGUAGCAAACAGG